UGACUAAUUAAUUUGCUACUUUGCUUUCUUAAUGAAUUCAGCCCUUUGUUAAGAGAAUUGCAAUCUCCGUUACUCGGAACAUCCAAAGAGAGAAACAAGGUCUAAUUGAAGAACAAGAAAGGUACAACUUAUUAAUAGGCCGGGCAUGAUCCAUGUUAAACCUCACAUUAUGGAGCAAUUAGGUUCAUCUGCAUAGCCCAUGCUAGCAAUAAAAACAUGUUGGCUUUGACAACAAUUCUUCGGAUCUGGCUUUGGCUUUUCAUCACCUUUGCCCUUUUCCUUUACUUCUUCCACGCUUACAAGAGUCGCAUACCCAAGCUUCUUCCUCAGACAGCAGGUCAAGCUAGCUGAAUCAACUCCGUCUCCAAUCACCACAACCCGAUCCUUUUCAGCUCCUUCUAUAGCCACUGAGAUCACACCUGUCACAUAAUCACAAAAGCCCAAAAAUGGAUCGACUGGGACUAUGAAUAAAUGAUUUGAAAUAACAAGCCUUUAUACUUUCUGUGAACUUCUUGUGGAAAGAAAAAUAGUGUUGAAAUGUGUAUCAUACCUUCUUCAACUGCAGCAAUCUUCAUGGCUUUGGUUCUGCAUUUGUCACAGUUCAUUUGCACUUUCACAACUAUCUUUUGCUACACCAUCACACAAGGAACAUAUCCAAAUCUGUUAUAGCUAUAAUUUCAUAUGCUUCUUUUUGGAUCCAGCUAGAACAGAUUAAGCUACACAAUAAACAAAAAGCAUCAAUGGAGUUCCAGAUCAAAAGGCUCACCUUCAUGUUUUGCACUAGGCGAACACAAGGCAACUUUUUUGAAUCUCUGACUGAAUCUCUGUGAACUUAAUUGGCAAUGAUGCCGAAGGGGAAGACUGACUUCCUCUUAUAUAUGAGAGUUUCAGGGCAAGCUUCUUCUGUUUAACUUCGAAUACAGCCAGAUCUAUUCAUAAUAAAUUUUGACAUUUAGACAGUGAAUCUGACCAUCUCAACACUGCAGUUCUAUAGACUAAGUCAAUAUUCAUCCAGCAUGUGCAAGUAAUUUUCAAGGCUGUUUUGUGGUAUGUUCUUACCUGAUUAAUUUAGUCCCCGCCAGCUUGCAAUUCAUGAAAAUUCAAUGCCCACCAGUGACUUUUAUCAAGAAAAUCAAACUUACAAGAAGCAAAAUUAGACUCGGUGACUUUUUUUUAAGUUUUUUAACACUUAAAAUUUUUUAUCAUUUAAAUCUUAGAAAUGUUGAAAAUAUUUUCUAAAAUCAAAAUACCAAACGUACUCUUCAUUGAAUUUCUUUAACAAUUGUAUAUUUAUGCAAAUCAUAUUGUACAUUUAUGCAGCAAAUUGUCUCGGGCUAUGUUUGAUUUAUGGAAAAUUUAAGAGAAAUAUGCAAGAGAAAGAAAAUAAAUAAAUAAAUAAAUAAAAAAGAAAAAAAUGAAAGAAAAUAAAAAAUAAAUUUAAAGUUAAUAAAUUAUUUUUAUAUGUUACUCAAAACUUAUUUAAUUUAUUUUAAUUUUUCUAUAUAAAGAAUAAAUAAUUUGAAAAUAUAUAAAUUUUUAACUAAUUUUAAUUAUAUUCGAUCUUCUUUCCUAUUUUUCAUAAUAAAACAAAAUAUGAGAAAAUCAUUUUACUUUAUUUUUUUUUUCUUAAUUUCUUUGAUACUUUCAAAACCCAAAGAUAACCAAGUUUUACAUUUUUUCUUCAGUCAAUUUUUUUUUUAAAAAAAUAAGUAAUAAGUAAAAGAAAAAUUAAAAACAAACAUUUAAAAUAUUCUAAAAGCAAAUUGUAUUCGGUAUUAAACUAAAAAAACAAGCAUCAUAUUAAUCUUCUCUUUUAUUAGUUGUAUGUUGACAAGGCUACUCUUCUUUUCAUGAUUUUAAUUAGUUUAAUAUAUGCUUUUAGAAUUACUAAUGGGUGGGUUGAUGGAGUUGUUAAAAGACACUUAAGGUGAGGUGCUUCUAGAAAAAACGGAUCCGACUUAUGUUUUUCUUUUGUUUUUAAAAACCGAUGAAAACAACUCCUACUUGUUUUCUAAAUUUUUUUCUCUAUUUCACUUUGUUUUUAAAAAUUAUUUCUAGAAAACAACAACCAAGUAGUGUUAAAAUUUUUAAAACAGUUUUUUGUUUUUAAAAAUUGAAAAUUAUUUUUAAACCACACGACCAAACAGGCUCUACAUGACGCAAAUUUACUAUUUAAUUUUAGUAGUUAAAAGAUUCUUAUUUUUGACAAAGAAAGGAAAAGUAGAGAAUAGUCUUAGAACUUUAAGAUGAUUCAGAAUUAGGGAUGAUGAAAUGGAAUCAGUCUUGAUAUGUAUCAAGAACAUCAACAUUAAAUUUGAAAAUAUUAACAAAUAAUUGCAAACAAUAAUGUAGAAAUAUGAGACAAACAAAUGGUUAUAGUUUUGUGACUUCGAUUCUUUUUCGUCUAACCUGAAAAGCUCGUGGUGCUAUAUAUAUGAUGAAACUAAAAUUAUGAGACUUUUUGGGGGGUUUGUGGUGGUAGCAAAGGGGUCGGGCCUAUGUAGGGGCUUGCCCUUGUAGUAUAUACAUGUGUAUAUGUGUGAUGAUAUAUAGUCUUAAGGUUAUGAUAAUUAUGCUUUUAUCAUAGUCGCCCUAAACUCUCCCCUCUUGUACCAAUUUUUAACAUAGUGGAUCAUCUUCUUCUCUUCCUAUAAUGUUUUUCGUCUAGGGUUUUUCACAUAAAUCUAUAUAUUCUUUUUUUUUUUUUUUAUUGCCUAUUCUCAUUUGCACUUUGACAAUUAUCCUCUGCUGCACCAUCAUGCAAGGAACAUAUCCAAAUCUGUUGUAGCUAUAAUUUCAUAUGCUUCUUUUUGGAUCCAGCUAGAACAGCUUAAGCUACACAAUAAACAAAAAGCAUCAAUGGAGUUCCAGAUCAAAAGGCUCACCUUCAUGUUUUUCACUAGGCGAACACAAGGCAGCCUUUUUGAGUCUCUGACUGAAUCUCUAUCAACUCAAUUGGCAAUGAUGAAGAAGGGAAGAGACCGACUUCCUAAAUAUGAGAGGUUCAGGGCAAAAUUCUUCUGUUUGACUUCGAAUACAACCAGAUCUAUACAAUAACAACAACUGAGAUUAGAUGAAUUGUAUUUAACCAUCUCAACGCUGCGGUCUAUAGACCAAGUCAAAUAUUAAUCCAGCAUGCAGCAUGUGCAAGGAAUUUUUAAGCCUAUUAUUGGUAUGUUCUUGAUUUAUUCGGCGCCAGCUUGCAAUUCAUGAAAACUCAAUGGCCAAUGACUUUUAUCAAGAAAAUCAAACUUACCAGAACCUAAAUUAAUUGAACUUCUUUAACUACCAAAAUCUUUUGCAUAUUUCUGCAAUCCAUCUUCUACAUUUGUAGAGCGGAUUCUUUUUUUAUUUUCAGAAAAUUUAAGGAAAAGAAAAUAAAAAAGAAAAGAAUAAGUAAAAUAAAAAAUAGAUUUAAAGUUGAUAAAUUAUUUUUAUAUAUUAUUUUAAAUUCAUUUCAUUUAUUUUAAUUUUCCCACAUAAAAAAAUAUUUUGAAAAUAUAUAAAUUUAACUAAUUUUAGUUUUAUUUAAUCUUUUUUUCUAUUUUUAAUUUGAUAAUAAAAGAUGAAAAAAUCAUUUCCUUUAAUAUUUUUUUCUUAAUUCCUUUAGGCUAUGUUUGGUUCCCGGAAAGUACAAAGGAAAGAAAAAAAAUGCUAAGGAAAAUGAUUUUCUCAUGUUUGGUUGUCCUAUGAAAAAUAUCAAAGAAAAUCAAAUAUAAUUAAAACUAAUUAAAAACUUAUGUAUUUUUAAAUUAUUUAAUCUUUAUAUUGAUGAGUUAAAAUAAAUAAAAUGGGUUUGAAGUAACAAAAAAAAUAAUUUAUCAACUUUUAAUCUAUUUUUUUAUUUUCCUUCACUUUUUCUUUCUUUCUACUUUUCCUUUGUAUUUUCUUUCUCUCGCAUUUUUCCUCAAAUUUUUCGGGAACCAAACAUAGUCUUAAUACUUUCAAGAACCAACAAAAACCUUAGCAAACCUUUUGAUGUCUCCAAAAGAGUUUCACAUCUUACUAGUAAUUUCUUAAAUCUCUAGAUGCGUAUUUUCAUGUAGAGCACAAAGGAGCACAGCUGCAUUUCGACUGAGGAAUGGCAACAGAGAACCAAUCAACAUAUGAACCUCCAAAUGUUGUGCUUUACUACACAGCCUACUAGAAAGCACUGUUUUUUUUUUUUUUUUAACUUAAAUCUAAAUAGAAAUUAAUUUAACUUAAUGUUAUAUACAUAUAUAAAUAUUAAGUUAUUUAUUUAUUUAAUAUUUUAUUUUUAUUAAACAUUAAGCAUUAAUAAGAUGAGAGUGUAGACCCCAUGGCUCGUUUUCAUUUUAUUUUCUGCAGCCCAUUCUUUGUGGAGGGCUCUCAGCAAGCCACAUGUCGACUCCUUGGUGGCUGGUAGGGAAUCAGGUAGUGGAGUUAAGGGACCAAUCAGAAUUGGACACCUGUAAAGGACAUUCUGGAAAAACCUGUAGGCCAUUAUUUGGGAGGUGGUGUUUUCGUUGCUGCAGAGGAGGAAUGGAGGAGAGAGAGGAUAUUCUGGCAGAGAGGAGGAGGUGCAUUUGGAGACGGGUGCUGGGCAGGAGAUAUUUUCGGCAGAAGAUUCUUUCUUGAGGGGCAAGUUGAGACGAGGAGGAGAUAGGUGCGUUUUGGGACGUGUUGCUGUGGAGAUAUUUUGAGGGUGAGUUUCUUUCUUGGCCGCAAGAGAGCCAGACGGGGAGGGGAGAUUCUUUCUGGAAGGACAAGCUAGAGCUUAGAGAGGGAAGAUGCAGACUGGUUUCCUGGAGAUAGCUGAGAGGGAAAACAAGAAGAGAGGUGAGAGUUUGCAGCUUGCUGGGAACCAAGUGAUUUUGCUAAAAGGGUGACAUUCGGGUUUGAUCAUCUCCCGCUUUAGGUUUUUCACUUUUACAAUCAUACUUUACUCAUUGCUGAGGUUUGAAUGCUUGUUUUUUUUUACUACCUAAGAUGUUAAGCUUGUUUUUCAUUUCUGUUUGCCUGAUCUCUGUUUCUUCCCCCAUGAGUUGUAUGAUGAUUGUGUUAUCUGUUUGCAUUUUGAGACCAUUCAAACUUUCCCACCAGGUUUUUUUCUUAGCUUUUUUAUUUUCAUGAAAUGGAGUUGGGUUUAAUGGUAUUAUCCUCCCUUAUGCAUGCUCUGUUUUACUUCAUGGUGUCCUCUGUUUCUGGUUCUUCUUGGGUGAUUAGAUACCAUGUUUUGGGUUAAUUGUUUGAAUGAGGCUGUAUCUGAGAAGACUCAACGUCAGAGUUUUGGGAGAUAUUGUCAUGUUUGUGUGUUAGGUGAGUUGAAGGUUAUCCAGCAAGUAUGGCAUGAAGAAGAUCAGUUCUUAACAGGAUGUGAUGUUGCUUAUCUUGAUGGAGAAGACGAAAAUAACAUAGUCCAGUGAAGAAAUCCAUUCCAAUGUCAUCUCUACUCCGAUCAGAUGUUGAAAGAGGAACCUCUCCAGAUAGAUGAUAGAACGCUUCCUUCUCAAAUGUCAGAAUUCUGGGUAUAGAAGGUACUCCCUGACGUAUGGCCAAGAAAUUGGCGAACAUGCUGCCUUUAAUUCAAGGAAAUGAGAUUCCCCUGACUUCGCAUUAUGAAAGGAUUAAAAGUCUGGUUAGCCAAGUUGAGACAGCUUAUGGAGUUUUAGAGAGAAGCUAAAGAGAGAAAGACUCUGAAGAGACCAGCGUUUGUGUUUUGUGUGUGUGUGGAGACCACGACUGCCCCCACCACUGCUAGCUGACUAGAGAAGCCUAGAGAGAGACUCGUCCUCGAAUCCACAAUUCUAGAGAAAGAGGGACGCCUCCGAAUCCUAAGGAGAGAAGGAAAGAAGCUGAGUCGAGUUCUUGUUUUUGGGCUUGGUGUUUUCAAACUGAUAGAGGGAGUUUAGGUGGGGUGUGAUUUGCUCAUCUGUUGCUGUCUUUGGAUGAGUUGAAGAUCGGGAUCAGUUUGUUGGAAUCCAUGACUGCAUCGGUUAAUAUAGUUGUAGGUUCUCAUGUAUGGGUUGAAGAUCCAGUGGAUGCAUGGAUUGAUGGUGAAGUUUCUAGGAUCAAUGGUCUUGAGGUUCAUGUUCAUACCACAAAAGGAAAAACAGUUGUUGCGAAUAUGUCUAAGGUGUUCCAAAGGAUACUGGAUCUCCACCUGGAGGUGUAGAUUACUUGACAAAGCUUUCAUAUUUGCAUGAACCUGGGGUUCAGCAAAACUUGGCCUCAAGCUAUGAACUUAAUGAGAUUUAUACGUACACUGGAAACAUCUUAAUUGCAAUAAAUCCUUUUCAAAGAUUGCCGCAUCUGUAUGACACCCACAUGAUGGAACAUGUUAUAAAUAUAGAAUAAUUGUAUUCUAUUUCUUGAUUAAAGAAUAUACAUCAGUGCCUUUAUAUAGGAGGCAUAUGUGUGCGGUACAAGUAAUAUGUGUGCAGUACAAGUAAAGUGUACUAUACAAGUAACCUAACUGGGCCUAAAGCCUAUAACAUAAUAUACUUUAACAACCCCCCUCAAAUUCAAGGUGGAUGUGAGACCAACUUGAGGUUGUCAACUAAAUCACGAGUGCGUCUCUUAGGUAGUGACUUGGUGAAGAUAUCUGCAAGUUGAUCUUUGGAGGAGAUGGAAAAAAGCUUAAGAGCACCAUGGACAAGAUGAUAACGGAUAAAAUGACAAUCAAUCUCGAUGUGUUUAGUCCGUUCAUGAAAGACAUCAUUGUGAGCAAUAUGAAUGGCACUCUGGUUGUCACAAUAAAGAGGAGUAGCAAAGGAGGUGGACACACCCAAAUCCUUAAGAAGCCAUCUUAGCCAAAGGAGCUCAUAUGUGGUAUCAGCAAAGGCAUGAUAUUCUGCUUCAGUACUGGAGCGGGCCACAAAAGUUUGUUUCUUACUUCUCCAAGAAAUCAAAGAAGAACCAAGGAGGAAGCAAUAACCUGUAGUGGACCUGCGAUCAGUAGGAUCUCCUGCCCAAUCAACAUCAGAGAAUGCAAAGAGUACAAGAGAAGACUGAGCUGAGUAGAAAAGGCCAUGAAAAAGGGUACCCUUCAGGUAUCGAAGAAUGCGCAGAACAGCAGCAUAGUGAGUUGAUCGUGGAGCAGACAAAUACUGGCUCACCUGAUGAACAGCAUAGGAGAUGUCUGGACGAGUAACUGUGAGAUAAACUAAGCUGCCAACCAAUCGUCUGUAAAGAGAAGGAUUAGACAAUGGUUUCCCCCCCCGAGGGUGUCAGAUGCGCAUUAAGUUCAACUGGAGUGUCAUCAGUCUUGCUGUCAGUGAGUCCAGCUUGAGACAACAGGUCAGAAGCAUACUUGGCUUGAGUAAUAUAAAGACCAUCUGUGGAAUGAGUAAUUUCAAGACCCAAGAAAUAGCUGAGAUGUCCAAGAUCUUUCAUUUCAAACUGCUGACUGAGAAAAUCCUUGAGUUCUUGAAUGCCACUAAGGUCAUCACCAGUUAUGAUCAUAUCAUCCACAUAUAGAAGAAGUAAAAUAGUGCCUUUAUCAGUACGACGAAGAAAUAAGGCAGAAUCAUAUGGACUGGCAGUGUAACCCAAGUGAAAAAUAAUGGAGCUAAACUUGGCAAACCAAGCUCGUGGGGCUUGUUUAAGACCAUAAAGUGCACGUCGAAGAUGACAAACCUUGUUUGAUUCAAUAGAGAGACCAAGAGGAGGUUGCAUAUAGACUUCUUCACUCAGAUCCCCAUUAAGGAAGGCAUUUUUAACAUCCAUCUGAAAAAGAUCCCAUUUACGAGCAGCAGCAACAGCUAAGAGAGCACGAACAGAUGAGAUACGAGCAAUUGGAGCAAAAGUCUCUUCAUAAUCAAUCCCAUACUCCUAUGUAAAACCUUUGGCAACAAGACGAGCCUUGUAGCGCUCAAUAGAUCCAUCAGAGCGAGUCUUGAUCUUAUAGAUCCACUUACAACCAACCACAGACUGUCCAGGAGGGAGAGUAACCAAGUCCCAAGUAUGGUUUUUGGUUAAUGCAUCAAGUUCCUCUUUCAUUGCAAUCUGCCAUAAAGGGUCAGUAGAAGCCUCACGAUAGGUUUGAGGCUCGUGAAGUGUAGCAAGGGCAGUGUAACAAUGAUAGUCAAGGAGGUGUGGAGGAAUGGAUCUUACCCGGGUUGAGUGGCGAGGUGGAAUGUCUUGUGGAGGAUCUUCAGGUAGAGCAGGAGCAGGGGACCCAGGCUCAAAGUGGGGUAGCUCGUCAUCAAUCUGUUCAUCUGCAACCUGUCUAGGAGAAGCAUCAAAGAUAUCUGGAGAGAAGUCCAAAGGAGGAUAAAAAGUAUUUGUAGAAGGAACAAGAGACUCAUCUAGAAAGAUUUCUAAAACAGAUGAGUUAGUCAAGGAAGAACGAAAGUGAGAGAGUUCAACAAACAAUCGGUGUUCCCAAAAGACAACAUUACGAGAAACACGAAGACGAUGAGAGAUAGGAUCAUAACACCUAUACCCCUUUUGAGUUUCGCCAUAACCAAGGAAACAACAGAGUCUAGAUCGAGGCUCAAGUUUGUUGUGCUCAUGAGGCUGAAGAAGAACGAAACAAGCAGAUCCAAAUGAGCGAAGGUGAUGAUAGUCAGGGGGUGACCCAAAGAGACGCUCAUACCGAGUCUGAUUAUGGAUGACAGCACUUGGAAUGCGGUUAAUUGCAUGAACAGCAUGAAGACUAGCUUCACCCCAAAAUGGGGCAGGAACUUUGGCAGAAAGAAGGAGAGCACGAACAGUGUCAAGAAUAUGACGAAGUUUUCUUUCGGCUCGACCAUUUUGCUGAGAGGUACCUGGACAAGUUAGAUGAUGUAUAGUGCCAUAGGAAUGUAACAGAGCUUGAAACGCAUAUUGAGUAUAUUCAAGAGCAUUAUCAGAUCGAAAGGUUUUGAUACUUUUGAAGAAUUGAGUUUCAACCAUUUUUGCAAAAUUGCUAUAUAUUGGUAAAAUUUCAGAACGAGAUUUCAUAGGAAAAAUCCAACUAUAACGAGAAUAAUUAUCAAUAAAAACAACAAAAUAUCGAGAUCCACCAAUACUAGCAACAGGAGAAGGUCCCCAAACAUCAGAAUGAAUUAACUCAAAAAUACUAUUAGAAAUGGAUUCACUGUUAUUAAAAGGCAAAGCUGGCUGUUUUCCUAACUGACAUGAAGUGUAAUCAAAAUUGUCUUUAGACACAGAACCCAACAGACCCCUAGACACUAAUUGUUGUACCCGAGAAGAUGGUGCAUGACCAAGACGAGAAUGCCAAAGUGCAAGAGAAGGUAAGGAAGAAACUGUAGCCGCUGCAUCAGCAACAGAAACAGGAGCAAUAGGUGGAAGAUGAAGAUUGUUCACUGGAAACAUACGUCCAACUCUAGGACCGGUCUCAAGCUCCUGCCCCGUCCUCGGAUCCUGCACAAUACACCCAAAAUAGUAAAAAAUAAGGCGAUAACCUAGUUCAGCUAAUUGUCCCAUAGAGCACAAAUUAUAGGAUAGGGCAGGUACGUGGAAGACUCCAAGAACAUAAAGAUUAGAGGUUGAAACAAAACCUAGACUAUUUCCAUGCAUGGUGGAACCAUCAGCUAUAUGAAUAUUUAGAGGAUGUGGUGCAGGGUCAAGGUUGGAGAACAGGGAUGAGUGAGGUGUCAUGUGAUUGCAGCAGGCAGAAUCAAAAAGCCAAGUUUGAGACUUACCAGGUAGAACAGAUAAGGCAGUGGAAAGAGAUGCAUUACCAGCCAUACGAACAGCUUGAGCUAUGAUCUCCUGUAGUUCAGUGGAGGAGAGGUUGAUAGUAGAUCCAGAAGACUGGGACUCAGUUGAGGUGGAAGCCGUUGGCGGAGUAGGCUCAGUAUUAGCAACAACAGCAGUAGAUUUGUUACGAUGGUAACAAGUCUCAAUGGUGUGGCCAGGACACUUGCAAUAGUUGCAGAACUUCUUGUUGGUCUGCUUGCGACGAUUGCUAGAGCCAGAAAAAUCACCUAAUUGCUGAGGUUGCUCUAUGAGUGGAGUAGAUGGAGUAAUAGCCAAAACAUUGAGCUUAUUCUGGGCUUGAAGGGUUGCAAGACGAGCUUCUUCUCUAACCAACUCAUUCACAGCAGUAUCAAGAGAGGGAGCAGGACUGCGAUUUAGCAGCUGACCACGAAUGGGCUCAAAGUCCUUGUGAAGUGACAUCAAGAAUUCAUAGAGGCGAAAUUCAUCUCUGAUGGAAGCAUAUUGCUGAGCAUCUUUUGAGCAUGCCCAAGUUGGAUCAGAAAGGUCAAUUUGGUCCCAAAUGAAGCGAAGCUGAUCAUAAUAGUCAUUGAUGGAUUGCCCCGGUUCUUGCCUGAGUUGAUGCAAUUCAACCACUAACUGAUAUUUCAUGGAUCCAUGAGUAGUGGAGUACCUUUUGGUCAACAUAUCCCAUGCAGAUUUUGCAUCUUCAAAGCUGCCCAAUAUAUUGGAAAUAGAGGGAAUGGAAGUGUUCCGGAUCCAUGUGAGGAUCAUGUGGUUAUGACUAUCCCAUUCAAUCAUGCGACUAAGAAAGGCAACAUCUUCUUCACUUGCUCCCUUGACAGGAAUACUCAUUGCACCAGUACAAUAAUGCCAGAACAUGCGACUCUUAAGAAAACUGUGCAUAGCUUGAGACCAGGAUAAGUAAUUUUUAUUCCCCUCCAAUACAGUAUUGAUGGGACGAGGAAGAAAAACAUCCUUUUUAUCCAUUUAGAGACACAAUAUGCAAAAAUCGACUGCAAAAAUGAAAUCUACACGAAAAACUAGGUAAGGAGAACCUAGACAGAAAAAGUCAAUUGGAAAAGUCAACGGUCAACGGAUGAAGAUGACGUGGAGAUGACGUCAGCAGAUCAGUGGAUGCUGACGCAGCUAGGGCUGACGUGGCAGAGAUGAUGAUGUUAGCAGACCAGUCCUCGGCGCGUGAGAGCACGUGGCAGCGCGUGAAGGCGCGUGAUCAGCGUUGUAGAAUCUUUGAGCGGUGCGUGGGGGCGCGUGCGGUCUCCGAUGGCAGCGAGGGUUCCAUGAAUGUGUAGAUCGGCGCUGGACAAUCUCAGUGGUACCUUAAAAAAUGAAAUCGGAGCAAUAUUCGCAGCGGUGAUGCAAAGAGCAGUGGUCUGUGCAGUGUGAAACUCCUUAACGACGACGGCUGCAGGUCCGGAACCCAAGGACGACGGCUGGAUGACGUCGGAGGUUCAACGGCAAGAGGCUGCGGCGGCAGUUGUGAUGGCGGAAGCGUUUAGUGAAAGAAAGGAAGUCACACUAAUGAAGACAAGACUGCUAAGAAAAGGUCAGAGCAGUGGCUCUGAUACCAUGUUAUAAAUAUAGAAUAAUUGUAUUCUAUUUCUUGAUUAAAGAAUAUACAUCAAUGCCUUUAUAUAGGAGGCAUAUGUGUGCGGUACAAGUAAAGUGUACUAUACAAGUAACCUAACUAGGCCUAAAGCCCAUAACAUAAUAUACUUUAACAUGAGUCUGUAUGACACCCACAUGAUGGAACAAUAUAAGGGAGCGGGUUUUGGGGAGCUCAGUCCUCAUGUGUUUGCUGUUGCAGAUGUUGCAUACAGGGCAAUGAUUAAUGAAGGAAAUGAGAUAGAUUCCUCAGUCAUCAAGGAUGAACAGUCCAGAUUCCAUCAUAACAAUGACGACCCCAUCAAACCAUACCACUCACCAAACCAUCCUUGCCUUCAUAUUUCUUUCAUACCCAUUUCUUCCACUACCUGUGAUUUUACUCUAACCCACUCCAUGCUCAUGAUCAUUCUCAUUUCCUCACAUCCUCAUUCAUACCCACCAUACCCACUACCGUUCAUACUCACCAUUUUUCCAUUUUCCUUAUCUAUCAUACCGCUUCUUCCCACCACCCGUUCCACCAAUAAUACUCACUCCCAACCCACUUCCAGUCUCUUUCCUUUCAUUUUCCAUGAACGUAAAUCCCAUGCAAAAUAUCACUCAUGUUUUAUUCCUCUUCUCAUCCUUUGUACUAACCAAAAACCCAAUCACCUGGACCACUUGCCCGACACCAUUCAACUUUGAUCCCUCCGUGUUACCAGUACCUCUUCCCCAUUCUCCUUGCCACACACUCCAACCUUAUACACCCAUUUUGAGACCGAAAUAUUCUCUUGUUUGAUGAUGGAGUUCUGCCCAAGAGGUGAUUUACUCACACUUAGGCAGAGGCAACCUGGGAAACAUUUUUCUGAGCAAGUUGUAAAGUUCUAUGUAGCAGAGGUUCUUCUUGCUUUUAAAUGCCUUCACAUGCUCGGGAUUGUUUAUCGUGACCUGGAACCAGAGAAUGUCCUUGUGAGGGAAGAUGGGCACAUUAUGCUUUUUGAUUUUGACCUCUCUCUCCGGCACACUGUCAGUCCGACACUGGUCAAGUCCCCUUCUUUUGGCACCAAAUCCUUACGAAAGGAUCCAGUAUAUGGUGUCCGACCUACAUGCAUUGAACCUUCUUAGAUUCAGUCAUCCUAUGUGGCCCCAACAACACGUUUUUCCCCUCUAUUAAGGAAAUUAUAUGUUAGUUAUUGUAUGAUUAUCUUGACAUAAUUAGCUGAUUGUAUAAGAGCAUAAUUAGCCUUAUAUUUCUGAUUCUGUAGCUAUAAUUUAGGAGAAGAUUAGAUCAAACAUGUGUAUAUAUAUACUACAUUCUGUUAAUGAGAAAAGUAUCCAAUUUGAAGCCAAUCUCUUUAUUCUUGUUAUGGUAUCAGAGCAAGAACAACAAACCACCAUGGCUGGCAGUCAGAAGGCUUCUGGAUCAGAAAACAAGACCAUCGAUCCUUCACAUCCCCUCUAUAUUCAUCAUUCAGAUCAACCAGGCCAUGUUUUGGUGCCCAUCAAAUUAAAUGGGGUCAACUAUCAAUCAUGGAGCAAAUCAGUUAUUCAUGCCCUUACUGCCAAGAAGAAGAUCGGCUUCGUCGACGGGACAAUUGAAGAACCAUCGCAGGAAGAUGAACCCUUUAUGUUUGAACAGUGGAAUCAAUGCAACAGCAUGAUACUUUCUUGGCUAACUCAUGUUGUUGAAUCGGACAUUGCUGAAGGAAUUAUCCAUGCUAAAACAGCACGCGAAGUGUGGGUUGAUUUACGCGACCAGUUUUCUCAAAAGAAUGCUCCAGCGGUUUUUCAAAUACAGAAAUCAAUCGCCACCAUGUCGCAAGGAACGAUGACAGUAGCUGCAUAUUUUACAAAGAUCAAAGCCUUAUGGGACGAGCUUGAGACAUACCGUUCCCCACUGACCUGCAACCAACGACAAGCACAUCUCGAGCAAAGGGAGGAAGACCGUCUUAUGCAAUUUCUAAUGGGUUUGAAUGAGUCAUAUAAGGCAGUGAGAUCCAAUAUUUUGAUGAUGUCGCCAUUGCCCAAUGUCCGUCAAGCAUACUCUUUAAUUGUCCAGGAAGAGAUGCAACGACAAGUUUCUUCUGAGCCAACCGAGAAUUUCUCAAUAGCUGCCGUAGUCCCGGGAAAAUGAGGUAAUCCAAGACAGAAAAUGUGUGACCAUUGUAACAGAUCUGGACAUACCAUAGAUGAAUGUCGGACUCUUAAAUUUCACUGUAAGUUCUGUGAUAAAAGAGGUCACACGGAGGAUAGAUGCCGACUGAAAAAUGGGAGCAAUAACAAAACGGGACAAUUCUGAGGACAACGUCCUUUUGGUCGUGGGAAUCAGCCCUCAGCAAACGUGACAGAAUCCCAGGAAAUGUCUGAUUCGACUUCUUCUAGUACAGUCCAGGGGUUCACUACAGAACAAAUACAACAGUUGGCUCAAGCAAUUCGUGCAUUAAAUCACAGUAAUUCCGGUAAUAUUGACGCAUAUGCAAAUGCUGCAGGUUUGAUUCCAUCAACUCUUGUGUCUGUUAAUUCUAGUAGUACAAGUUCUUGGAUUUUGGAUACAGGUGCCACGGAUCACAUCGUUUCCCACAUGUCUCUUUUCACUGAUCUCAAACCUUCUAAUGUCACAAUUGUUAAUUUACCAAAUGGUGCAGCAUCACCAAUAACACACACUGGCACCGUUAUUUUUUAUUCCCAAUUGACCCUUAAAGAUGUUUUAUGUGUCCCAUCCUUUAACUUGAAUUUAAUUUCGGCUAGCAAACUCGCAAAAGAUCAGAAUUGCUGCAUCAUAUUCUUUCCUGACUAUUGUAUUUUGCAGGACUUGGUUUCGGGGAAGAUGAUUGGCUCGGGUAAACAGCGUGGUGGUCUAUACUACAUGCAUCCAUCAACAAAUAAAUCGGUUNNNNNNNNNNNNNNNNNNNNNNNNNNNNNNNNNNNNNNNNNNNNNNNNNNNNNNNNNNNNNNNNNNNNNNNNNNNNNNNNNNNNNNNNNNNNNNNNNNNNNNNNNNNNNNNUCUAUACUACAUGCAUCCAUCAACAAAUAAAUCGGUUGUCUUUCAUGUUUCUCAACCGUCUGACUUAUGGCAUUUACGCCUGGGUCAUCCCUCUUUUUCUCGUUUUAAAUUAUUAUCACAUUUGCUUCCAGAUAUUCAUAAAGAAUUAGGAAAUCAUUGUCCAAUUUGCCCACAGGCUAAGCAGACACGCUUGCCCUUUCCCAAAAGUUCAAUAACUACAAAAUUUCCUUUUUCUCUUUUACAUUGUGAUGUCUGGGGUCCUCACAAAAUUCCUGCACAUACUGGUUCACGUUAUUUCCUUACAAUUGUUGACGAUUUUUCUCGUUGCACAUGGAUUUUCCUUAUGCAUCAUAAGUCAGAAACACAAUCUUUGUUAACUAAUUUUGUGCAAUUCGUCAAAACUCAAUUCCACAUAGAUGUUCAAACGGUAAGAAUGGAUAAUGGCACAUAAUUUAUUCCUCUUCGCAUCUUUCUUCAAAAUAAAGGAAUCGAACUUCAAACCUCUUGCAUUUACACUCCGCAACAAAAUGGAGUUGUAGAACGCAAACAUCGACACAUUUUAAAUGUUGCCCGUUCUCUCAUGUUUCAAUCAAAUGUCCCACUUGAGUUUUGGGGGGAAUGUGUUUUAACAGCCAUUUAUCUGAUAAACCGCAUUCCGACUCCAUUGCUCUCAAACAAAUCACCAUUCGAGGUCUUAUAUAAUCGGCCUCCUUCACUCACACAUUUGCGAGUUUUUGGUUGUGAAUGCUAUGUAAUGUUCACCCCAAACAGAAAUUUGACCCUCGGGCAUCUAUUUGUGUUUUUUUGGGGUAUCCACAUGGAAAAAAAGGCUAUAAAGUACUCGAUUUGCAAACACAAAAAAUAUCAGUCAGCCGAGAUGUAUUCUUUAGGGAAAAUAUUUUAUCUUUCCAUUCUAGUUCUUCUCAAUCUCUACAACUUUCACCUUCUCUUCCUUUACCGCUUCCCAUUUCUUUCGAUUCCACACCUCAGCCGAUAUCUCUUCCUCGUUUUUCUCCAAGUUCCACUCCUCCCUUGUCGCAUCACAAUCCUGUAUCAUCUCCACUUUCCUCUAAUACUGAUGUUCCCGAACCUUUAUCCCCAGAAUCAGUUGCGUCACCCUUACCUUGUUCUCCAUCUCCUUCUUCGCUUUCUUCCCCACCUUCAGUGCCCUCAGUACCCUCCAACACGUCAACCCCUUCCCCCACCCAUGAACCCCCUCUUCGACGUUCCACUCGUCAUAUUCAGCCUCAUGCCUGGCACCACGACUAUGCCAUGUCUACCCAGCUUAAUCAUUCUUCCACGCAAUCAAGUUCUCGUCAAGGUACAAGGUAUCCCCUCUCUUCUCACCUUUCUUUUUUUCGUUUUUCACCCCAUCACCGUGCUUUUUUAGCUCUUUUGACAGCCCAAACCGAACCUUCAUCCUUUGAACAAGCUGACUGUGAUCCACGUUGGCGCCAAGCCAUGUCCACCGAACUUCAGGCUUUAGAACGAAAUAACACUUAAGAGAUGGUCCCUCUUCCUCCGGGACACAAACCCAUUGGCUACCGCUGGGUGUACAAGAUCAAAUACCAUUCUGAUGGAACCAUUGAAUGCUAUAAAGCCCAUUUGGUUGCCAAGGGCUACACACAGGUCGCCAGUAUCGACUAUCAGGAAACCUUUUCUCCAACUGCCAAACUCACCACUCUUCGCUGUUUGCUGACUGUCGCAGCUUCCAGAAAUUGGUACAUCCAUCAGCUUGAUGUGCACAACGCAUUCCUUUAUGGCAAUUUACAAGAAGAGGUUUAUAUGACUCCACCUCCUAGUCUUCGCCGACAGGGGGAGAAUCUGGUAUGUCGGCUUCGCAAAUCUAUUUACGGUUUGAAACAGGCAUCACACAAUUGGUUCUCAACUUUUACAGCUACUGUUAAGUCUGCGGGUUACAUACAGUCCAAAGCAGAUUAUUCACUUUUUACUAAAUCCCAAGGUAACAAGUUCACUGCUAUUCUCAUUUAUGUUGAUGAUAUCCUAUUGACUGGUAAUGAUUUGCAUGAAAUCAAGAUGCUCAAGACUCAUCUGCUCAAGCGUUUUUUUUAUUAAAGACCUCGGUGAAUUGAAAUAUUUUUUGGGUAUAGAAUUCUCUCGCUCUAAAAAGGGAAUCUUUAUGUCUCAAAGAAAAUAUGCAUUAGAUAUUUUGCAAGACACAGGAUUGACAGGAGUGAAGCCCGAAAAAUUUCCGAUGGAGCAAAACUUGAAAUUGACUGAUGAAGAUGGCGAGUUACUUCAUGAUCCAAGUAGGUAUCGGAGACUGGUUGGCAGAUUAAUAUACUUGAUUGUAACCAGGCCUGACAUAGUGUAUUCAGUACGUACACUAAGUCAAUUCAUGAACACACCUCGGAAGCCGCACUGGGAAGCAGCAUUACGGGUCCUCCGAUAUAUUAAAGGAUCACCAGGUCAAGGUCUUUUUCUUCCAUCUGAAAAUAAUUUAACACUCAGCGCAUUUUGUGAUUCAGAUUGGGGAGGAUGUCGUAUGUCAAGACGUUCCGUUUCUGGUUAUUGUGUUUUCCUCGGAUCAUCACUCAUCUCUUGGAAAUCAAAAAAACAAACGAAUGUUUCACGUUCGUCAGCAGAAGCAGAGUACAGAGCAAUGGCGAAUACUUGCCUGGAAUUGACUUGGUUGAGGUACAUACUUAAAGAUUUGAAGGUUGAAUUGGACAAACCAGCACCAUUGUUUUGUGAUAAUCAAGCAGCUUUAUAUAUUGCGGCUAACCCAGUUUUUCACGAACGUACUAAACACAUUGAGAUUGAUUGUCAUAUAGUUCGAGAAAAACUUCAAGCUGGGGUAAUUCGUCCGUGUUAUGUUUCUACAAAAAUGCAGUUGGCGGACGUUUUUACAAAGGCACUUGGCAGGGAGCAGUUCGAAUUUUUGUGCACCAAGUUGGGAGUUCUUGAUUUGCACUCUCCAACUUGAGGGGGAGUAUUAAGGAAAUUAUAUGUUAGUUAUUGUAUGAUUAUCUUGACAUAAUUAGCUGAUUGUAUAGGAGCAUAAUUAGCCUUAUAUUUCUGAUUCUGUAGCUAUAAUUUAGGAGAAGAUUAGAUCAAACAUGUGUAUAUAUAUACUACAUUCUGUUAAUGAGAAAAGUAUCCAAUUUGAAGCCAAUCUCUUCAUUCUUGUUACCCUCGCCUAUUUUCAAGUAAAUCCAAAAAGGUCCGGAAACCCAAGAAUGAAAUUGGAAACUAAGUGAGCCCAUUGCCAGAGCUCAUUGCAGAGCCAACUGGGGCUCACCCGAUGUCAUUUUUGAAGGCGCACGAGUAUAUAUGCACCUGAAAUCAUCAAGGGUGAAGGUCAUGGCAGUGCAGAGGACUGGUGGACCUUUGGAAUUUUUUAAUAUGAGCUACUCUUUGGUAAGACUCCUUUUUAAAGGAUUCGGGACUCUGAACCCCUUGCAAGACUUUCAGUUGCUACACAAUGCUACCUUUUGCAACAAUGGAUAAUAGCAAGACGCCAAUGUGGAGGGGCUUAUCAGCAUGGCGCGCUUCUCAGUCGUGAUUCGGCCAUCAGGUCGCAUUUCUUGGUACUUCUGGAACGGAAACGAAAGUCGUCUAUAGUUAGUCCUUGUAGACAGGAGGGCUUCAUCAUAGUGUUUGAAUUUUGAUGAUGGGUUGAAUAAUCUGUUUGCAUUGUGUAGCUCUGCUGCUAGGGACCUCUUUUAUUCCUCAGAAAGUGAGUGGGAAUUAUAAAAAUUAUGUGAAGCGGAAGUUUCUGCAUCGGGUCUUCAGGUCCGCGUUUCAGGUCCUUGCUACACAGGCAAUGUUUCAGGCAAUGGAAGCCGAACACUCUAGAUUCAUCUCAUCUGCUGCUGCCCUGAACUGGGUCUUGAAGAAUGGUCUUGGACAUUUAUUGUAGGUGUAUCUACACAGCAAGUCUUGCAUCCGCUUUUGAUACCAAACUAAAGUGGGUAACCUUGGUGGAAUUUCAGCAAAGACACAGAUCCGAAUGGUUGACGGAUCAAGUUUAAAUCCAUUUGAGAACGAGAACAAAGACUAUGAUGUCACCCAUCCUAUUACAGCAGAGGAAGCGGUGUCGAAGGUCAAUUCAUCAUCGCAUGGAAAUUGGCUAAGGUGAUAUUACCAGGAGUUCUGGGUUUGAAGAUACAGCAUGAAAAUUUGAUUCACCUUUGGCUUCUGGAAGUUAUGGAGCCCAGACAAGUGUUCCUCAUAAUGGGUACGUCAAUGGGGUGGUGAAACAUGUGGAUGGCCAGCUCAUAUAGAAAGCUCAAGUGAUUCAGUUGAAGAUAGACUAUUGAUACAGAAAACAUAGUGAUACUCCGAGAUUCACACCUAUAUGGUCUGCAUUCUCCAUUUUUUUCAUUUAUGCAUGGACUGCAUAUGGCCGCCUUUGACCCACGUGCUAUUUCCCAUUUUACCAUCUUGUACUUUUUAAAAUAAUUUUCUAAAUAUUUUCCUUCAAAUAAAUUUCUGGGUUAUAUUUUCUAAAUAGUACCAACUCCAAGGUGACAUUUGUUUUUUUGGCUUGAUUCUAAAUAGAACUUAUAUUUAACUUAAUACUAAAUAGUGAUUAAUAGUAUUAAGUAUUAAGUUGUUUGUUUUUUUAAUAUUUUAUUUCUAUUAAGUAUUACGUUGUUUGUUUUUUUAUAUACUAAAAAUCAAUAUCUUAAUAUUUUAAUGUAUUAAAAAAAUAUAAAUUUAAAGUAUUUCUAAAAAGUUCAAAAUAAUAAAAUUGUUAUAAUAAAUAAUUUAUCAUUAUCAUUCUUACAAAAUAUAAUUAAUAUAUUUAUUUUUUAUAUAAUUAAAAUAAAAUAUUUAAACUUAAUAAUCUAAAAAACAAUAGAUUGAUAAAACCUGAAAAAUAAAUUUUGGAUAGAAAACAAUUUAUUAAGAAUUUUUUUUGUAAAUACGUAAUUAUUUAAAAACAAUUAAGAUGUUUUAAAACUUUAUUUGAGAGUGCUAUUAUCAACAAUGGAAAUAAUGAAUAAUAUUGAAAAAGUAAAUAAGUUUUUUUUUUUACUUUUACCUUCAUGAAGAAUAAUAACAAAAAAAAAAAAAACUAUUUUGUAUAUUUGAGAAUAAUUAAAAACUGUUCUUAAAAAUUAUUUUAAAAAAUUACUAUAUUUUAAAACAAUCUCAAAUUAAACACCCUUCUAUCCUUAACUACUAAACUAGGAAUCUCCAAUGUCUCUUUAUUUUUUUCGCCUUUUUGGAGCCGUAAUUAUUGUUUUUCAAUUUCUUUAGAUUGGAUUGCCAAGGUUACCAUCUUCAAUCUCAAAUUAAUUUAAUAACUUUAAAUUAUUUCAUCUUAAUGCAUCUUAGAUUCUUAAACCAAGGCCUUCAAAAUUUGGAAGAAACUUGACUAGGGCAAGCUAUUUCCAGGAUUACUUCCUAUCCGAGCCAAGGUUGGGACUAGCACGGAUUUGCAGCCAAAUAAGGACCUUAGGGUUUUACAAGGGUUUGACUCACAGAAUGUGCCAUUGCUACUGCCGGUGACCUUUUCUGCCAGAAAUCAUGAAUUUCAGGUUUCAAAACCUCCUGGGAGCUCCAUACAGAGGUGGAAACGUCGCCUCUUCGAACAAAACUCUCCUCAUCUCUUCCGUUGGCAACCGUAUCUCCGUCAUCGAUCUCCUAAAAUCCCAAACUCAAACUCUCCCUACAUAGUCCUCCUCCAACAUCGCUCGCAUCGUCAUCUCUCCUUACGGCAAUUUCCUCCUCGCUGUUGUAGAGAGCUACAAGGGAUGGGUGGGUAGGUUUGGGCAUCGGGUUGCAAUUGUAUUUGGUAAAGGUUUAAAAAAUUGGCUUUUUCUAAAUAGAAAAGGCCAAAUAUUUAGCUUUUUCUAUUUAGUUAAAAAUUUUAAAAAUUCAGUAAUAAGUCAUCAAAAAUUAAAAAAACAAACAACCUAAAUUCUAAAAGCAAAUUACUUUCAGUAAAAAACCAAAAAAACAAACGCCACUCAAGUCUUUUUUUCAUCCUUAGAGUUUUCAGGUCUUAAAAGUCUCAUUUUCAAUAAAAUUUUGCUACUAUUUUUCUUUCUGGCAAAUAACUUUCAUAACUCCUCUGAUUUUUUUUUAAUCGUUUUAAAAUAAGCAAGAAUUAAUUAUGUAAUUUCAAGUGAUGGAAUUUAUGGAAUUAAUUCAUAAAAAAAUAAAUUGGACUAUGGUGGAGCCCGACAUCAAAUAAAUUUUCUUUAAAAUAAAAAUGGAUUUGAAUGAAAUAUCAUGCAUACUAUCGGUGGUUAUUCAUCUUGUUUGGUGAUAUGAGUGACAUAUUUUAUAUUAAUUAAUUGUGCACUAACCUCGUUUCUUGAUAGCGCAUGGUGGCUCGUUGCCCAGGUACGCAUCCUUCCCCAUUCUAGUCAUUCUCUAUGCAUGUUUUGAUUCUCAUAUGGGCAUGAUAGUUCCGGGUAUUCAUUGAUUUCCUCAUCAAUUGCCAUGUUAGCUUCAUUUUAUUAGUAAAGACUCGUUCUUAGGGAUUUAGAGGGUGCUACGGUCUUUACUGUACCUUCCCAAUGAGUAACCUGACCCCCGAACCCGAUCCGGUUUCUCACAUACCACCUUUUCCAAAAUAAGGAGUCACACUAAGGGUUUUUCUUUCUUAUUUUGUUUACCCUUUUAAAAAUAAAACAAAAAUAAGUGGUGACUCCAAGUCAUUUUCCAAUAAAUAAAAUCAUUUUUUCAAAUAAAAAUUGAACUCGCCAUCGAGUGGAAAACGUAUGAGUCGAAAUGCGGGGUCCACAUUCUGUUAUGCCGCUUAAAUGUACUUUGUCUAGCUGAUUAUUCUUCCAUAAUUAGGGUGCAUUAGGUGGUCCACUUUAAUUGAGGCUUUAAGCUUAUCCAAGGUACCCAAAAUUAAUGCUAUCCCACUACUGUCUACUUAAGCCUUGGGCCACGUUAUUAUGGUGUAGACCCCAAAAUUUGUCCCAAUUUUAUUUUUACAUUAAUUUUGAGCUUAAUUUUAAAUCUCAAUUACAUGUGUUAUUUUAGGCCCACUCACCCGUUAAUUUUUUAUCUUUAUUAAUUUGUAAAUUAUUAUUUUUUUAUAUUUUAUUUUAUUUUAUUUAUUAUUAUCAUUAUUAUUAUUAUUAUCAUGUUUAUUAUUAUUAUUAUUAUUAUAUUAUAUUUUUAUAUUUUUAUUUUAUUUUAUUAAUUUUCUAUUUUAUUAUUUUAUUUUUUCUCUCCUCUCUCUUCCUUUUUUCUCCCCCACUUACCUUCACCUACCCACUUCUUCUCUCUUUCCUCCCACACCACCGGCCACCAUCAAAAUCUCUCGUUAUUUUAUUUUAUUUUUUAUUUAUUUUUAUUCUCUUUUCAUUUUCCCCCCAUUUUUCCCUUCCCACGCGGGGACCCCUCUAUUCUCCUUCCCCCAACUCUCUAGCCCUUUUCUCUGCCAAAAGACACCCACAUGGCUGGAUUUUUUUUUGGUCGGCUCCCUAUGUUUUUUUCUUCUUUUUUCUCUCCCCCAAGAGAACACACCCGACGGCCAUCUCCCCAGCUCCGUCCUUCCUUUUUUUUUUUUUUUCCCUUCCCAACAACACAUGUCGACCCAUUCUUUCCUCCCAUCUCUUCUUCCCCCCAACUCAUUUCUUCCAUUUUCAUUUUCAUUUAUUCAUUUACUAUUAUUAUUAUUAUUAUUUUCUCUUUCCCCCCUUAAACUCUCACAUUGCCGGCGGCGUGACGCCGGUGCCUUUUCUGGCCCCCCUCCAUUCCCAUUUUCUCCCAUUUUAUUUAUUUAUUUAUUUUUAUUUAUCUUUAUUCUAUUUUAUUUUUGUUUCCAAAAAGCUAUCCACUGCCACCGGCGAGCCCCAGUCGGCCGAUAAUCUCUUCCAUUUUUCUCUCAUCUCUCACUUUCCCGUAUCACUCAUUUUCCCUUAUUAUUGUUGUUGUUGUUGUUGUUGUUGUUGUUAUUGUUAUUAUUUUAUUUUAAUAGUAAUUGUUGUUUGUAAAAUUUGGACUGUUGAAUUAAUAUGAAAUUUAGGGUUAAUUUGUUGUUGGUAGAUUAAUAUGUAAUUUGGUUUAAUUUAUUGUUAGUGAAUUAAUUUGAAAUUUGUUAAUUUGGGUUUAUGGGUAUAUUGCAUUUGGUGAUUAAUUUGGGAUAUUUGGAUUAUAUCAAUUGCAUACUGUUUAUUUGGACUUGAGCCUAUUGUUAAUUUAUUAUUUAUUUGGGCUCGUUGGAUUGAACUUAAUACAUUAUUACCUUUGGCUAUAUAUAUUAUUAAUGUGGGCUUGUUAAUUGGAUAUUUCUUUGGACUUAUUAGAUUGGCCUUGAAAUAUUAUUUCCUUUGACCAUGUAUAUUUUUUUUUAUGUGAGCUUGUUAAUUGAUGUGAAUUUUGGGGCUCAUAAUGUAAGUGAGAUUUGUUGGAUUAUUUGAAUAUUUUAUAUGGGCUUGGCCAAUUUGAAUUAUUUAAUUUGGACAUGGGACAAUUGUGGUGUAUAUUAAAUUAGGCUUAAAUUAUGGAAUAUUAAAUUUAGGCCUAGUAGAAUUUAUUUUAAUUUAUCCAAUUUUAGGUUUGGUUGAUUGUGUUUGUAUUUUUGGUUAUUAAUUUGGAUGUUCUAGGUAAAGACCUAUAGUAAUUUGGGCUUAUUUUAAUUGGUGAAAUUUAUGGGACUAAUUUGAAAUUGGAAUUUGGGUUUCAAUAUUUGUUUGGGAUUUUGUAUAUCUCUGGAUAUUUACAUUUGUACUAUUCUUGUUUUUGCAUGGACCCACUUUGCAAUCUUGUUAGCGAAGUACGAAUUGAUGACACGUGGAGCUUGUUAUAAGUUUAUUUGAGUACAUAUUUCAUUUCCCACUUUUAUUUUAUUUUAUUUUUUAUUAGUUCGUGUAAAUAUUCGUUCGUAUGUAUUUAUUGAGUGUGUACAGAAUUGAACAUCGAACAAACUGUAAAUUUUGUUUAAAUGAGAGGAAGAAUUUAGUAAAUAUGUUUUGAUAAAACAAUAAUUUUAAAAUAUUAUUUUUAAUAAAAGAAAGUUUUUUUUUCAUUAUUUAUAAAAAUUCAGAAAAAUGCGUUUAGAAAAAUCCAAAAAAAUUGUUUUUAAUAGAAUUCGAAAAUUUUUUUAAUAACAUUGUCCAAAAAUUUCUUUGUUUAAUAAAAAUUGUCCAAAAAUUUAUUUUUGUAAUUAAAGUUGUCCCAAAAAUUAUUUUUUAAUAAAAUUGUCUAAAAAUAUAUAUAUUUUUUCAAACGAAUUCUUUUUCCUUAAUUAAAAUGAGAUUAAAAGUGUUUUUAAAAAAUAGAGGAUUUAAAUCUUUGUGUUUUUUUUAAUUAAAAUUUCUUUUGCAAAUAAAGUUAUGUCAUUUUAAAUAAUUUGUAAAAAUCUCUUCUUCUUUUUUUAAUAAAAAUGAAUCUAAAUACUUUUAUAAAUAAAAUUGUAAAAAUUCAUUAUUUUCUAGUAAAAGUAAGUAAAAAUAAUUUUUGUACCAAAAUUGAAAUUUUGUAAUAAAUUCUUUUGAUACAAUAAGUGUAAAUAGCUUUUUUUUUUUUUUUAAAUUGAAUACAAGUGAAAUUGAGAAAAUAAAUUAAUUCUUUUUGUAAGUAAAUAAAUUGAAAUCACUAAUUCAAAAUCAUUUUUAAUAAAAUCCAGCUGAAAUUUCUUUAAAACUUUUUUUUAAUAUCUUUUAUUUAUUUAAUUCAACAAAUCAUUUUGCAUAAUUCUCUUAUUAUUUAUUUUGUAUAUUUUUUGUAAUUAGAUUUCAUCAUUGUUUUAGUGUAUAUUGAUUUCUAUCAUGACUUGUACAUUGAUUAUUUUUCUUGGUAUCCAUAAUUGAUUAAUUAAUUGCCACAAUUCCCUUAAUUCGUUUAGUAGAGGCCAUAUGUAUACGGGUUUAGAGGGGUGCUGCGACUCACCACCGUACCUUCCCAAUGAGUAACCUGAUCCUUAGACCCAGACUUAGUUUUUCACAAACCUGUUUUUCCUUCAGGAGUCACACUUAGGGUUUUUUUUUCUUAUUUUAUUUUUCCCUUUAAAAAAAUAAAACAAAAAUAAGUGGUGACUCCAAGUCAUUUUCUAAUAAAUAAAAUCAUUUUAAAAUAAAAUCAAGCUCUCCAUCGAGUGGAAGUGCAUGAGUAGAAAUGCGGGGUCCACGUAUGGCUUUUUUAAUAUUCUCCAAGCCAACUGUUUCACCUAUCUUAACCCCUUUUUGUCGUCUUCAUACCAAUCGAGUUCAUGGAAUGGUUGAAAAAGGCCAAUACUUCCCCUUGGACUAGACUCUAAAUCAUAUGGUCGAAAAAGCCAUUCAGGGGACCCAAAUGACCUUCCCGUUGAAAAUUUGAAAAUGGGUAAUUAUAUUUUGGACCUAAUUGAGCUCAAAAAUGAAACUUUGGUUCAUAUAAGUUCAUUAUUUAAGCCCAAGAUCCAGAGAAAGUGUGAAAAUUGGGAAGGAGUAUAAGAAUUUUAUAUUUCCGAAAAUGACCUUUGUUGACUAUGAAAAAAGAGAGUAGAAAAUCAUUAAUUUAAAUUUUAUUUCUUUUGUAAACCUCAAUAAAAUUCAAUAUAAUUUAGUGAUUUGGAAAAAAAUACACAAUUUUCCAAAAAAAUAAAAUAAAUUAUUAUUAUUAUUAUUUAAAAAUCAAACAUUUUAGAAAAUAUAUAUUUUUGAAAUUGUGUAUAUAAAAAAUAACUAAAAAUAUGUCAAAUUUAUUUUUUUUAAAUGAUAUAUUUUUAGAAUAUAUUUUUUAAAACAUUAGUUUUUUAAAAAUAAUAAAUUUUUAGAAUAAUUAUUAAAAAAAAUUAAAAUAAAAAGGUUUGUUAAAUAUUAUGGUAGAAAAUAGUUUUGAAGAGUAUAUCGGUCUUCAUAUUUUAUAUCAUUCCCAUCAAUUAUAUAAUUUAUAAUAAUAAAGGUUAAUUUUUGGCCCAAGUCAAUAACACAAUUGUCCCAAGGUUGCCAGGUGAACAUUUAGUAUGGCGUUGCAGAAGUUGCCAUCCACCACCAUAAAGGUUAAUUUAUUUAACGUGGUGCCGUUUGAGAAAGGGCAUUGAUGUGGAGAUUGAUACGACGCGAAGGAGUGGAGCCUUAUUCACUGCUGAUGCUGGGUGGUCGGGUCACGGAUGUUAUUCACCUGAAACUGAAAGGGAGGUCUCCUAACUCACAUUAUCACACCUGCUCUCUUCCCUCUCCUCUUUCCCAAUUCCCAACCCAGAUACCCAAUAUGGUGUCCGGUUUUUUACCAAGAUAUUCUUUUUUGAAACAAUUUUCCAAUGCAAACGAACCAAGACCUAUUUUCCAAAUAAAAAUAUUUUGUUUAAUAUGAUGGUUUUUGAAACAAAUUUUUGUUUGCAAAGUCAAUUUUAUUUUUUAUCUAUUCAUUGUAUUAAUAAUUGUUCAUUAAAAUAUUAUUUGAAAAACGCUUAAAGAACAUCUCAAAUUUAUUUUUAAAAUUCAUCAUGGUUUUAAGAAUAAUUCCUGAAAAGCUAUUUUCAAUAUAAAAAUUAUCAUGCAUAUUUUUAUAGUUAAAAAUCAUAAUCCUUUUUUUUUUAUUUUAAGAUAUCUCGGGUAAGCAUAAAUGAGAUUAACCUAGUUGAAUAUGAUUUAUCCGAUAUAAUAAUUGGUACAAAAAUUAAAAAUAAUUUUUUUUAAAUAUUAGGCAUAAUAUAUUUUUAUUUUAAAAAUAUGAAAUAUCAGAAAAGAAUUAAAAAAAAAAAUUGUUAUAAAAUAUGUUAAAAUAUUAUAUUCCACCUCUCUUAAGUCUUUACCAACAAUCAUUGUGGAUGCCCAAAAUAGUCCACUUUAUUAUUAUUUAUUAUUUUUAUUUUUUGUGUUUUUAAUUCUCAUAUCAUAUUCAAAUAUGUUGUCGUUUGAAUACCUGGGGAGGUCGCUUCUAUCAUCCUUAAAGUCUAUGCAUCAGAAUUUGAAAUUUGAUUCCAUUGUUUUACUUUUAAUAAAGUAGAAAUAUGAGUCAUGGAUGUAUUGGGCAAAAAUUUCGCUUGAGGGGAGGGGAGGGAUAGGGGAAGGUGGUACGGGCAAUGCCAUUAAACUAUCAUUUCAACACAAAUUAAUUAUUCUAUAUAUAUAUAUAUGUUGUGAAUCAAAACUGGGAAAAAUCCACCUCUAUUGAUCAACAACCUUGGCUAAUAAAAUAGCCUUACAAUAACUAAUUGAUAAGAAAAAUAGCUCACGUUUUACACUAACAAAUAACGUAGUAAAGAGUAGAAAAUAAGUCAAAACUGGAAACUACCCUGCUUAAUAGGGAUUAUUAAAACAAAAAAAACUAAACAAUCAGAAACUUAAAUCUUGACAAUAUAUAUAUAUAUAUAUAUAUUAUUUUAAUUUGAAAAUUAAUAAUUAAAAAGAUUAAGCACAUUGUAGCUCUUUGGCCCUGGCUGUGUCCACGGCCUGGCCCUGCUCUCCAAUGCCGCCGCCAAUGCUUGGUCUAUGGUGAUGAUUUCUGGCUCUUGCAACUUCCAGGAGCUUGAUAAGGUGGCCGCCGUCGAGCCUUUCUCCAAGUUAUGUGCAAAAGCCACUGAUAUUAAUUUCCCAAAUACCUAAGAGCCCUUUUAAAGUCCUGAUCAAGCUCUUUCUGGUCGGCCCGAUGGUUGUUACUUGGAUCUUCCAAAUGAUAUUCUCCACCAAACUGUUUCUCAAUCCGAGGCCGAGAGUCUGUCGGAUGCUGUUGAGGACAAAGCCACAAUUGUGUCAUCCAAUAAAUGUUGUUCUUUUCUAUUUUUCAUAAUAAAACAAGGGAAAAUCAUCUAAUCAUACACUAAAUACAAAAAAUAUGAGAUUUUGGAAUUUUACCAUUUUCUUUUUAAUUUUGGUGUAAAAUGGAAAAAAGUAUUGUCUAUUCAUGCACUCCAAUAGUGCUUUCAAAUUUGUUUCACAAUUACCCUUAAAAGUAAAGGAAAAAGUAUAAACCAAUUUAAUACCACAUGUUAACAAGUACACGUGUCAUUUAUUUUUAUUAUUUUUCUCACAUCAACAUAUUUCCCUUACCACUCGUCACGUUUCUUUUUUUUUUUUUUCUUCUUCUUCUGCCACCAUAAUCCAUUGUCACCUAUUAUAGUUUUUAUUAUUCAUUUUUUCCCUUUAUAUUGUUUUUAAUAUGCUCGUGUAUUUUCUCAUUAAACUUCUUUAAUCUUAAUUUAUUUUUACUCUCUAAUUUGUCUAUAUUUAUUGAUUUUAAUUAUUUUUUUGACAUAUUAAACUUAAAAUGAUAAUAUAUAAUAAAUAAUUAAUAUAACAAAUUAAAUAAAGACAAAAUAUAUAAUGGACAAAAAUAAAAGUAUUAUCCCACAAAUAAUAAUGAUUUUAAAUAUUAAUUAUAAUAAUACAUUUUAUAAAUUAAGGUUUAAAUUUAAAAUUUCCAUUUUAUUAUUCAGAAGUUUAUGAUAUAAGAUUUUUUUAUAUUAAUACUAAACAAAAGAUUUAUUUAUUUUGUAAAUUCUAUCACAUGUAAAAGUAAAAAUAUCAUUGUAAUACUAUUUUAUUAUUUACAUUAUUUUUCUUUUAAUUUUCAUUUUAAAUUUAUCAUAUAAAAAUCACAAUAAGUGAUGGUGCUUUUAUCAUUUUUCUUAUAAUUUUAAAUUGUUGUGGAUCUAAACUUUUUUUUGGUUAAUCUUUAAUUUUUAAUUAAAAUAAAAUAUAAAAGAAAAUAUAUUUUUCAUAAAAAAUUGUAUUUAGCCUUUUAUAUUAAUUUCAUAAAAAAUAGGCACAUCCUUAAAAAAAAAAAAGGUAAAUUAAUGUUUAGGAGAACCGGAAAAACUAUCAUACUUAUCAUGGUGUAUAUAUUCCUUUGGGACCCUCGAUAAGUAAUUGGAGGUCUUUGCUCACCCCAAAAAGAACUUUGGGAUCAUAGGUAUAUCCAUUCUUAGAGGGGACCCCAAUUUUCAUUUUCAUGGUUUAUAUAUUCCUUGGGGGAGCCUUGAGAAAGAAUUAGAGGUUAUUCCCCACUCUAAAAUGGACAUUGGAACCCAAGGUACAUCCUAAAGACAAUUUGGUACAUCAUUUAUAAAAUUUGGUACAUAUUUAAUAAAAUUUGGCAUAUCCUUAAAAAAAUUUUGUACAUCCAAUCCAUGAGCUACCAGGACCUCUAUAUUAUUACCCGUGGUUCGUUUAUUUCUUUAGGGAUCUUUAGGAAGUAAUUAAAGGUCAUUCCCUACUCCGAAACGAACUUUGGAACCCUAGGUAUAUCCUUAAGGAGAUUUGGUGCAUCGUUAAGAAAUUUUGGUACAUCCAAUCCUCGGGCUAUCGAGACCCCUAUCUAUCUUCUGAUGGUCCAUAUUAUCCUUUGAGGAUCCUUAGGUAGUGAUUGAAGGUCAUUACCCACAUCAAAAUGAACUUUGGCACUUUUGGUACAUCCUUUACAAAAUUUGGUACAUCCUUAAAAAUAUUUGGUACAUGCUUAAGCUAUUGAAACCUCUAUCUUAUUACCCAUGGUCUGUUUAUUCCUUUAAGGAUCUCUGGGAAGUGAUUGGAGAUCAUUCCCUACUCCGAAAUGGACUUUGGAACCCUAGGUACAUCAUUGAGAAAAUUUGAUACAUCAAAUCCUUGAGCUAACGGAACACUUAUCUCCAUUUCCAUAGUCCAUUUUUUCCUUUGGAGACCCUUAGGAAGUUAUUGAAGGUCGUUCCCUACCUCAUAAUGGACUUUGGAAACAUUGGUACAUCAUUUACAAAAUUUGGUACAUUCUUCACAAAAUUUGGUACAUUAUGAAGGAUGUAUCAAAUUUUGUUAAGAAUGUACCAAAGGUUCCAAAGUGCAUUCCAAGGUGGGGAUCGGCCCCUAAUCACUUCCUUAUGGGUUCCAAAAUGAAAUCAUGUACCAUCCAUGUUCAAAUGGGGGACCUGAAAACAAUAAGAUCGAAUGAACCAAAUUUAAUGAAGGAUGUACCAAAUUUUGUGAAGUUUGUACCAAGCGUUCCAAAGUGCGUUCCGAGGUGGGGAUCGGCCCCUAAUAACUUCCUUAUGGGUUCCAAAAUGAAAUCAUGGAUCAUUCAUGUUCAGAUGGUGGUCCUAGAAACAAUAGGAUCGGAUGUACCAAAUUUAAUGAAAGAUGUACCAAAUUUUGUGAAGGACGUACCAAGGGUUCCAAAGUGCGUUCCGAGGUAAGAAUCGGCCCCCAAUCAGUUCCUUAUGGGUUCCAAAAUGAAAUCAUGAACCAUCCAUGUUCUGAUGGGGGACCCGGAAGCAAUAGGAUCGGAUGUACCAAAUUUAAUGAAAGAUAUACAAAAUUUUGUGAAGGGUGUAUCAAAUUUUGUCAAGGAUGUACCAAGGGUUCCAAAGUGUGUUCUGAGGUGGGGAUCAACCCCCAAUCACUUCCUUAUGGGUUCCAAAAUGAAAUCAUGGAUCAUCCAUGUUCAGAUGGGGGACUUGUAAACAAUAGGAUCGGAUGUACCAAAUUUAAUGAAGGAUGUACCAAAUUUUAUGAAGGAUGUACCAAACGUUCCAAAGUGCGUUCCGAGGUAGGGAUCAACCCCCAAUCACUUCCUUAUGGGUUCCAAAAUGAAAUCAUGGAUCAUCCAUGUUCAAAUGGGGGUCUCAGAAACAAUAAGAUCGGAUGUACCAAAUUUAAUGAAGGAUGUACCAAAUUUUGUGAAGGAUGUACCAAGGGUUCCAAAGUGCGUUCCAAGGUGGCAAUUGGCUCCCAAUCACUUCCUUAUGGGUUCCAAAGUGAAAUCAUGGACCAUCCAUGUUCAGAUGGGGAACCCGAAAAUAAUAGGACCUAAUGUACCAAAUUUAAUGAAGGGUGCACCCCUACUUUGCCUUCUGCAUGUAGCAUAGUAAUAUAAUGUCAUUCACACAUAGGCAUUCCUUUCAAAUGGAAGGUGCACCCCUAGAUUGCCUUCUGCACAUAACAUACAAAACUAAUGUUAUUGUAUAAAAAAAUUCCUUUGAUUCUAAGGGUAUAAUGUAAAUGUUCGAAUGUCUUCCCAAGGUGUUAAUGGGUCAACCUCCCUUUUACUGACUCCUCACAUAACACGAAUCAAAUCCCCACCUCAACGAUUUGGCACAUUCUUCACAAAAUUUGGUACAUCCUUCAUUGAAUUUGGUACAUCCAAUCCUAUCGCUUUCGAGACCACCAUCUGAACAUGAAUGAUCCAUGAUUUCAUUUUGAAACCCAUAAGGAAGUUAUUGGGGGCCGAUCCCCACCUCGGAAUGCACUUUGGAACCUUUGGUACAUCCUUCACAAAAUUUGGUACAUCCUUCAUUAAAUUUGGUACAUCCGAUCUUAUCACUUUCGGGAUCCCCAUCUGAACAUGGAUUGUCCAUAAUUUCAUUUAGAAACCCAUAAGAAAGUGAUUGGGGGCCGAUCCCCACCUCGGAAAGCACUUUGGAACCCUUGGUCCGUCCUUCCCAAAAUUUGGUACAUCCGAUCCUAUUGCUUAUGGGACCCCUAUCUGAACAUGGAUGGUCCAUGAUUUCAUUUUGGAAUCCAUAAGGAAGUGAUUGGGGGUUGAUCCCUACCUCAGAACGCACUUUGGAACGCUUGGUACAUCAUUCACAAAAUUUGGUACAUUCUUCAUUAAAUUUGGUAUAUCCAAUCCUAUCGUUUUCAAGUCCCCCAUCUAAACAUGGAUGGUCCAUGAUUUCAAUUUGGAACCCAUAAGGAAGUGAUUGGGGGUUGAUCCCCACCUUGGAAUGCACUUUGGAACCCUUGGUACAUCCUUCACAAAAUUUGGUACAACCUUCAUUAAAUUUGGUACAUCCGAUACUAUUGCUUUCGCGACCCCCAUUUGAACAUGGAUGGUCCAUGAUUUCUUUUUGGAACCCAUAAGGAAGUGAUUGGGGGUCGAUCCCCACCUCGGAACACACUUUGGAGCCGUUGGUACAUCGUUCACAAAAUUUGGUACAUCCUUCACAAAAUUUGGUAGAUCCUUCAUUAAAUUUGGUACAUCCGAUCCUAUUGCUUCCGAGACUCCCAUCUAAACAUGGAUGAUCCAUAAUUUCAUUUUGGAACCCAUAAAAAAGUGAUUAGGGGCCGAUCCUCACGUUGGAAUGCACUUUGGAACCCUUGGCACAUCCUUCACAAAAUUUGGUACAUCCUUCAUUAAAUUUGGUACAUCCGAUCUUAUUGUUUCCAUGACCCCCAUCUGAACAUGGAUGGUCCGUGAUUUCAUUUUGGAACCCAUAAGGAAGUUAUUGGGGGUCGAUCCCUACCUCAGAACGUACUUUCGAAUGCUUGGUACAUCCUUCACAAAAUUUGGUACAACCUUCAUUAAAUUUGGUACAUCUGAUCCUUUUGUUUCCGGGUCCCCCAUUUGAACAUGGAUGGUCCAUGAUUUCAUUUUGGAACCCAUAGGGAAGUGAUUGGGGGUUGAUCCCCACCUUGGAAUGCACUCUGGAAUCCUUGGUACAUUCUUCACAAAAUUUGGUACAUCUUUCAUUAAAUUUGGUACAUCCGAUGUUUUUGCUUUUGGGACCCCCAUCUAAACAUGGAUGGUCCAUGAUUUUAUUUUGGAACCCAGAAGGAAGUGAUUGGAGGCCGAUCCCCACCUUGGAAAUCAUUUUGGAACCCUUGGUACAUCCUUCACAAAAUUUGGUAAAUCCUUCUAUUGCUUUCGGGUUCCCCAUCUGAACAUGGAUGGUCUAUGAUUUCAUUUUGGAACCCAUAAGGAAGUGAUUAGGGGCCGAUCCCCACCUUGUAACGUAGCUUGGAACGCUUGGUACAUCUUUUACAAAAUUUGGUACAUUCUUCAUUAAAUUUGGUACAUCCGAUCCUAUUGUUUUCGGGAUCCCCAUCUAAACAUGGAUGGUCCAUGAUUUCAUUUUGGAAGCCAUAAGGAAGUGAUUUGGGGCCGAUCCCCACCUCAGAACGCACUUUGGAACCCUUGGUACACCCUUCCCAAAAUUUGGUACAUUCUUCAUUAAAUUUGGUACAUUCAAUCCUAUUAUUUCCGGGACCCCUAUCUGAACAUGGAUGGUCCAUGAUUUCAUUUUGGAAGCCAUAAGGAAAUGAAUGGGGGCCGAUCCCCACCUCAUAACGCACUUUGGAACGCUUGGUACAUCCUUCAUUAAAUUUGGUACAUCCGAUCCUAUUGUUUUCGGGUCCCCCAAUUGAACAUGGAUGGUACAUGAUUUCAUUUUGGAACCCAUAAGGAAGUGAUUGGGGGUCGAUCCCCACCUUGGAAUGCACUUUGGAACUCUUGGUACAUCGUUCACAAAAUUUGGUACAUCCUUCAUAAUGUACCAAAUUUUGUGAAGGAUGUACCAAAUUUUGUAAAUGAUGUACCCAAUUUUUGAAAUGAUGUACCAAUGUUGCCAAAGUCCGUUAUGAGGUUGGGAAUGACCUUUAAUAACUUCCUGAGAGUCUCCAAAGAAAGAAAUGGACUAUGGAAAUGGAGAUAAGUGUUCCAUUAGCUCAAGGAUUGGAUGUAUCGAAUUUUCUCAAUGAUGUACCUAGGGUUCCAAAGUCCAUUUUAGUGUAGGAAACAAUCUCCAAUCACUUCCCAAAGAUCCCUAAAGGAAUAAACGGACCAUGGGUAAUAAGAUAGACGUUUCAAUAGCUCAAGUAUGUACCAAAUAUUUUUAAGGAUGUACCAAAUUUUGUAAAGGAUAUACCAAGGUGCCAAAGUUCGUUCCGAUGUGGGGAAUGACCUUCAAUCACUACCUAAGGGUCUUCAAAGCACUAGAAGAAAAAAGGUCAUUGUUGACAUAUAUUAUCUUGACUUAAGGUGAUAUGUGUCAAUAUUGCCUAAUUAAAUGAACAACUAUGACAUAUACAACUUGUUUAAACCAAUAAUGACAUAUAUAAAAUUUUGUUGAAUUCUUUUAUGACUUAUAUAAUAGAAUCUUGACAGAUAAUUUAUGAGUCAAUGUAUAGUUAGUAUCUUCAUAUGUCAAGGUACUUAUAUAAUGUGGCUAGCUUGACAUAAAAUCAAAAGUCAAGGUACGAUUUUAAACAUAUAUGCCAUUUUAAUUCUAGUAAAAUGAUCUUAAAUGACCUAUGGAUUAUAAGUCAAGAUAUCAUGUUAUAAUUACUUGUCAAGGUUCCCUGUGGUAUUUACAAAGAACACUCCUCAUUUUCUCAAAACCCGAUAUUCAUUUUGAGAGCUUAGGGUUUGAAACUUUUUGCUCUAAACCAAGGAUGAAAAUAUCGGUAAUUACGAAUAUAUCAAUACUUCGAUAUUACAGAUAUAUCAAAAAUAUCGGAAAAAUAUCGGUGGAUAUUUUUUUACAAAUAUCGGUGGAGCGAAAAUUAUUUAAAAUUUAUAGGAAUGCUUGGAAAAACUCCAAAAAAUGAUAAAAUAAGUAAGAAUUCAUAUUUUAAAGUUAUUUUGUAAAUAUAAUUGAUAUAAAUAUAUCAAAAACAAAAACAUCCGUAGAUAGAGAUAUAUCAAUAAAUUUGAUAUUUGAAUUUUAAGAAUAAUAAAUAUGAAUUUUGGAAGUUUAUAAAGUUAGAAUUGAGUUAAGAAAUAUUUGACUUUAUUGAAUAAAAAUAAUUUAUAUAUAAAUAUAAUACAUAUGACAUUGCAAUAGUCUUAGUAUCAAAAUGAAGAUUGAUGUGGUUCCACCAUAUUGUUAGAUGAAGGGAGCCCAUCUUGUUGAAGACAAUAUUUAUUUAAAAAUUUUUAAAAUAUUUUUAUUAAAACACGUUUUAUUAUAUUUUAAAUGAAAAAUUAAAUUAAUUUAUAUAAAAUAUUUUAUUUGAGAUUUAAUUUCUAAAAUUUUAUUAAAAAUAUGUGGUAACAACUUUUUCUAUUAAUAUUAAUUUAUUUAAAUAAUUAAGAUUAUUAAUAAUUUAUUUUAUCAAAUUAAUUUUAAUUCAUAAAAUAUCAUCCAUAAAAACGGAAAUUUCAAUGUGAUUUAAUCAAAAUAAAGAUGGGUAACUAAUAAUUAUUUAUAUAGAGAGAGGAAACUUGUUCUCAUUUUUUAUUAUUUUUAUCUCUACUAACUAUAAAAAUCAAAAGGGCCACCGCUUCUCUCACUUGGGGCCUCGGGCAUCAAGAAGCCCUUUUCUAAAGUUGCUCUCGAGACGAGAGAAUCCGCCCUUCUCUGUGACUCUCAAUCCUCAUAGGUACUAAUUAUCGUUUUUUUUUUUUGCAACCCCCGUUUGAUUCCCAAGAAAAUCCAUUCCCCAUUCGAUUUUUGGGAAAAUUCAUCCUUGUUUGAUUUUCGAGAAAAUCCAUGCAAAACCCCUAAGGAAAACCACAAAAAUUGCUUUGUUUUUUUUUUGCUCCCUGUGUUUUCUCUUUGCAAAACCCCCAUUUGAUUCCUAAGAAAAUCCAUCCCCCAUUCGAUUUCCGGCAAAGUUCAUCCUCGUUCGAUUUCCGAGAAAAUCCAUGCAAAACCCCUAAGGAAAACAAAAAAAAUUGCAUUUUUUUUUGCUUCCUGUGUUUUCUCUUUGCAAAACCCCCAUUUGAUUCCUAAUAAAAUCCUUUCCUCAUUCGAUUUAUGGGAAAAUUCAUCAUCGUUUGAUUUCCGAUAAAAUCCAUGUAAAACCCUUAAGGAAAACAAAAAAAAAUUGCUUUUUUUUCUUUGCUCCCUAUGUUUUCUCUUUGCAAAACCCCCGUUUGAUUCCCAAGAAAAUCCAUUCCCCAUUUGAUUUACAAGAAAAUUCAUCCUCGUUUGAUUUCCGAGAAAAUCCAUGCAAAACCCCCAAAGAAAACCGAAAAAAUUGUUUUUUUAUUUUUUUUUUUGCUCCUUGUGUUUUUUUGGAUCUGUUCUAGGGGUCUCUUUUGCUUUUGUGCCAUUGGAUUUAAAUUUCACGAACCCCAAAUCCACUAUUUUUGAGCCAGGCUAAAAAACACAACUUUUGCCUGCAAAUCAUGAUUAGAUUACCAAAUAGCAUCUUAUGUUUUUUUUUUUUUUUUUUUAAAAAAAAAAAAAACUAGACAGAUUUUGUAUCCUAUGUGCGGGCUGGACUAGUGGGAAAUAUUGGGAAAUUUCUUGAAAAAUCGGUAAAAAUACCGAUAAAUACAUGUUUGUUGGGUUUCAAAUCAAAUGGGUUCUUCUUCUCUAGGCACUUAAUUUUGUGGCUUUGAAUGGGUCUUUGCCUCUUUCAAUCGAUUAAAUGAAGGUGUGGAAAUGGUAAUAUUUCAUCUUUUUAUUUGUUCUUGUUAGUUAAAUUCUAAUAAUCUAUUUUCCUAUUUUGGUCAUGUAGAACAUCAUUGAAUCAAGAUUAUGUUGAUUUUGGUUUCACCUACAUUAACCUUGAGAUAAAAAACCUCAAAUUUUCCACAUAUUAGAUCUUUAGUUACUGGGUAUGUUCUGGUUUGCUUUGUGAUUUAUUGAAGAAAAAGUGUGGAUUGUGUGAUGGUUGAAAUAUUUAGUUAUUGGGGUUUUUUGGUUCUGAGUCUCAAAUGGACUUGUCAAGUUGUAAGCAUUUGAGAUUCUUUGGCUACCAUUUGAAUUCUAGACAUACAAAUGUCUUGCUCUGGUUUUUGGUUUUUAGAGUUGUUUUGCUCCCCACAUUCUUUGGCUUUGGUGGGGUUGUUCAUAACAACUUUUUGGUGAUCAACAAUAGUUCAUUAUCCUCAAAUUCCAAGCUCCAAAUGUGGAAAGACAAGUUCUUGGAGGUUCCUUAGAUUUUAUAAGGAUAAGUUCUUUUUGUAUAGAAAAAUAAUUAUAAAAAAAACCUUAAAUGAGUAGUUUUAGAUGAAACCAGAUAUAGUUUGCAUUUACAUAAAUUUGGAGUUGUUAUACUUCUUGCUAAAUUUGUUCAUUUAUUUUUCCUAUCCUCAUUCAAUAUGAUGUCAUAUUUAUUUUUUUUCAUGUACCUUUCUAUAGAGCUUGGUAAACUAUAGUUGGUUGUAUUGUCAUUUUUUUCUUGGUCUUUCUAAGCAACCAAAUGAAGCAUUUGUGCAUGAUUUGUAGGCUAUCUUUGACUUGUAUAGUUUGAUGGAAACCUUGGACAUUUCAGGGAAAGUGUUAGGUUAAAAAAUCGUAAUAAUGAUCUAAAGAGUUAAAUAUCUUGGUUGAAGUUGGAUCAAAACAAUAACUUCAUUAGGUUAAAAUGAUUUAUGUUUUAGGUUUUGCUCCUAGGUUUAGCCUUCAUAUGUUUUUGCUAUAUCAAUAUUUUAAUAUUUGAGAGUUGGUUUGUUUACCUGUGUUAUUAAGAAAUAAUCUAUUAUUGUCUAAUAAAGGUGUAGUGUCUAGCUUGCUAUUAAAAUUCUUCAUAAAGCUUGAUAUUUGAUUGCUCCUCAUUAUACAUUUUUCUUUUUAAUUUGUUAAUAUGCUCUAUAUUUUUUGCUACAGAUUCAAAGUUUGGGUGUUGGAAAUUUAAGGUUUUCCUAUAAAGUAAUGCUUCAAGAUGGAGGCAAGAGACUUGGUUGUAGAUAUAUACAUGAGCAACUUAAUUUAAGUUUAUGUAUAUUGUCUUAUAGUAUGUUUUUAAUUUCGUUGUAUAUUAUAUGAGUUUCUUCUAUAUAGAGAAAUUGGGGACAACUUUAAACAAGUUCAUUGAUUUGUGCUUUAAUUAAUAAUUAAAUGCAUAUUAAAUAUGUUUUGAUUAUAUAUAAAAUCAUGAUAAUUUGAUUGUCAUUAUCAUUCUUAAAUAAUAUCAAAUUGAUUGUACAUGGCAACAGGUUCAAUUUUUCAUAUUAAAAAAUAAUUUUAAAAUUUUUUGAGGGGAACCUUGACAGUUGUACUUAUUCCCUACAUUGACAUAUAUAAGCCAAUUAUGAUAUAUAUAAAAUCUAACCUUGACAUAUGUAUCUAAAAGCCUUGAUAUAUGUGGGGUUAAUCAUGACAUAUAUGAUACCUAACCUUGACAUUUGUUGGACUAAUCUUAACAAAAGAGUGAGUUAACAUUGACAUAAGAUUAAGUAAUCUUGAUAUAAGUUGAAUCCAACCUUAACAUAUAUGAAAGAAAUAUUGACAUAUCAUAUACUAAUAAGAUUUCAUCAUUUGUAAAAAUAGAGAAAAUCUUAACAUAUGUAUAUGUCAAGUUACCUUUAAACUUUUCUUGUCACUAGCAUAGAUAACAUAUAUGAACAAUAACCUACCUUCACAGAUAUACCUUACAUUGACAGUGAAAAACUGUCAACGAAGGCUUUUUUAAUUUCUUGUAGUGAAGGAUAAUAUGGACCAUGGGAAGAUAGAUAGGGGUCUCGAUAGCCCAAUGAUUGGAUGUACCAAAAUUUCUUAACAAUGUACCAAAUUUCCUUAAGGAUGUACCUAGGGUUCAAAAGUUCGUUUUGGAGUAGGGAACGACCUCUAAUUACUUCCUAAAGAUCCCUAAAGAAAUAAACGAACCACGGGUAAUAAUAUAGAGGUCUUGGUAGCUCAUGGAUUGGAUGUACAAAAUUGUUUUAAGGAUAUGCCAAAUUUUAUGAAUUAUGUACCAAACUUUAUAAAUGAUUUACCAAAUUGUCUUUAGGAUGUAUCUUAGGUUCCAAUGUUCGUUUUAGGGUGGGGAAUAACCUCUAAUUCUUUCUCAAGGGUCUCUAAAGGAAUAUAUGAACCAUGGAAAUGAAAAUAGGGGUCUUGGUUCCUCUAAGAAUGGAUAUACUAGGAUCCCAAAGUUCUUUUUGGGAUGGGCAAUUGAGGGUCCCAAAGGAAUAUAUACACCAUGAUAAAUAUGAUAGUGUUUCCGGUUUUCCUAAGCAUUAAUUUACCUAUUAUUUUUAAGGAUGUACCUAUUUUUUAUGAAAUUAAUAUAUAAAGUUAAAUACAAUUUUUUAUGAAAAAUAUGUUUUCUUUUAUAUUUUAUUUUAAUUCAAAAUUAAAGAUUUUAACCAAAAAAAGUUAGAUCCAUUUAAAAUUAUAAGAAAAAUGAUAAAAACACCAUCACUUAUUGUGAUUUUGAUAUGAUAAAUUUAAAAUGAAAAUUAAAAGAAAAAUAAUGUAAAUAAUAAAAUAGUGUUACAAUGAUAUUUUUACUUUUACAUGUGAUGGAAUUUACAAAAUAAAUAAAUCUUUUGUUUAGUAUUAAUAUAAAAAAUCUUAUAUCAUAAACUUCUAAGUAAUAAAAUGAAAAUUUUAAAUUUAAACCUUAAUUUAUAAAAUGUAUUAUUAUAAUUAAUAUUUAAAAUCAUUACUAUUUGUGGGAUAAUAUUUUCAUUUUUGUCCAUUAUAUAUUUUGUUUUUAUUUAAUUUGUUAUAUUAAUUAUUUAUUAUAUAUUAUCAUUUUAAGUUUAAUAUGUCAAAAAAAUAAUUAAAAUCAAUAAAUAUAGACAAAUUAGAGAGCAAAAAUAAAUUUAAAUUAAAGAAGUUUUAUGAGAAAAUGCACGACCAUAUUAAAAAGAAUAUACAAGAAAAAAAUGAUAAAAAUUAUAAUAGGUGACAAUGGAUUAUGGUGGCAGAAGAGGAAAAAAAAAAGAAAAAAGAAAAAAGUGGAAACGUAACAAGUGGUAAGGGAGAUAUAUUGAUGUGAGAAAAAUAAUAAAAAUAAAUAACACAUGUACUUGUUAACAGGUGGUAUUAAAUUGGUGUGUACUUUGUCAUUUACUUUUGAGGGUAAUUGUAAAAAAAAUUUGAAAGCAUUAUUGGAGUGCAUGAAUAAAUAAUAUUUUUUUUUCCCAUUUUAUACCAAAAUUAAAAAGAAAUAAGUAAAGUUCCAAAAUCUCAUAUUUUUUGUAGUUGGUGUAUGGUUAGAUGAUUUCCUCCCUUUUUUUUUUCUUUCUAAGAUGGUUUCCUUUUCCUUGAUUUUUUUUUUCUUUUUUAAUUGCCUCUUUGGGUUAUUUGAUUACAUGCAUUUUUGGGUGCGAUUUCUUGUGUAGAUGCUGUAGGUUGUUCAUUAGUGGGCUUCUUUAUUAUAUACGAUUAUAAAGUCCAGUAGUGAGUAUAAUAGUCGUUAUCCUUGCCUUUUUGUGAGCUAUUAUUUCAGAACAAUGCUCCAAAAUUUGGGACCAGACCCAGAUAUAUUCCGUACUAUGAAUGGUGUUUGUCUUCUGUGCCUUUGAAAUUUUAGUUAUAUACCUAAGAAGGGACGAACUAAUUAAUUUUAGUUAAAAAUUAAAGGUCUAAACGCUGUGUUCGGAAUUGACCUACAAAAUUUCUUCUUUUCACACGGUAUUUAAACUCUAGAAUUUUGGAAUUGCAUUUAAGAAUUCAAAUGAGAUCCUUCUAUUAACCUAGUCGUGCACCAGGAAAGCACGUGCUUCCGUCCAACAGUAUCCUAAUUAUAUUGCAUGUUGAUGCUUGUGCCCCUUAGUAGUUGACUUUGGAGGGAAUUCGGAAUAUCUUAAGAUUUACUUAGAGUAUGUUUGAUAGUAAUUUUAAGAAGUAUUUUCAACAUUUAUAAUAAUUGAAAAUUUUCAUUCUUCAAGUAUUAAAAAUAUUAUAAAUACUUCUAUAAUUAUUGCUAAACGCACUCUUAAUGGAGGGGCAGAAGGCAGCUACUGGUGCACUUGGGCUAUCCGCAGACUUUGAUGCUAAUCUUCCAAAAAUCACUGUUAGUUUAUUGUCCUUUAUAUUUUGUGAAGUUGAAAAUCUAGCAAUUAACCACCAUCGAUUAACAUAGAGCCUCAUAACUAAUAGAAUUUAUAAUUUUAAUUACCCAAAAAAAGGGCCAUUUGCAGAUGUAGUUAGACCUAGCUCAUUUAUGCAGAAUAUUGCUACAAAGGCAUCAACAGUUGUCUUGGAGCUCUUAGCAAUAAGAUGGAAGUUCUAGCCUUCCUUUUAGUGAAAGAAUGAGACAGCAUUAUCAAAUUAAAAAUCAAUUUAACCCCAUAUAGUAGUCUUCCCACAAUGGUUAUAAACCAUUAUUUUCUUGUAUCUUUUGGAAUAGUGUAGAAUAAUGAUUUGAUAUUGGGUGUUCAUCAGUCUAAUAUAUGGAGAUGGAUUUAGGUUAUGAUGUUGGCCUAGCUAAUUAAUUUGCUAGUUUGCUUUGUUAAUGAAUUCAGCCCUUUGUUAAGAGAAUUGCAAUCUCCGUUACUCGGAAUAUCCAAAGAGAGAAACAAGGUCUAAUUGAAGAACAAGAAAGGUACAACUUAUUAAUAGGCCGGGCAUGAUCCAUGCUAAACCUCACAUGAUGGAGCAAUUAGGUUCAUCUGCGUAGCCCAUGCUAGCAAUUAAAACCUGUUGGCUUUGACAACAAGUCUUCGGAGCUGGCUUCGGAUCUGGCUUUGGCUUUUCCUUUACUUCUUCCACGCUUACAAUAGUCGCAUACCCAAGCUUCUUCCCCAGGCAGUG
rnacentral:lncRNA from 1 species